CCUACGGGAGACAGCAGUGGGGAAUAUUGGGCAAUGGAGGCAACCCUGACCCAGCAACGCCGCGUGAAUGAUGAAGGCCUUCGGGUUGUAAAGUUCUUUGAUCGGGGACGAACACAGUGACGGUACCCCAAUAGCAAGCCACGGCUAACUACGUGCCAGCAGCCGCGGUAAUACGUAGGGGGCAAGCGUUAUCCGGAUUGACUGGGCGUAAAGGGUGCGUAGGGGGUUUAGUAAGUUAGCUGUGAAAUGCAGGGGCUCAACCUCUGCGCUACCUGCGAAACUAUUAGACUUGAGUGCUGGAGGGGCAGGUGGAAUUCCUAGUGUAGCGGUGGAAUGCGUAGAUAUUAGGAGGAACACCAGGGGCGAAGGCGACCUGCUGGACAGUAACUGACGCUGAGGCGCGAAAGCGUGGGGAGCAAACAGGAUUAGAUACCCGUGUAGUC
rnacentral:rRNA from 1 species